rnacentral:misc_RNA from 1 species
CUCUCGCUCUCUCUCUCUCCUUAUUGCUGUGAGUAAAGUAACUGACUGUUCAGAUUUAAUAGAACAAUGCCCGGAUUGAGGAGAUUCUCUCUCAUUCCUUAAAUCUAUAACUGACUCUGUUUAACACAUAUAUACUUAUAUAGCGAUAAAAUGCCCUGAUGGAGAUUCUCUCUCUCUCUCUCUCUCUCAGUAAGUUAACUGACUGUGACUUUGUUUUAUAUACAGAUACAGCGGUACAAUGCCCUGAUGGAGGAGAUUCGUCGCUCGCUGACCGACCUGGAGAAAGGUAUCCAGGGUCUGGUGGUGAUGACUGUGGAACUGGAGAACAUAUUCCAGUGUAUCUUUGAUGGCAAUGUCCCCCCGUCCUGGUUAAGGGCGUACCCCUCACUGAAGCCCCUGGCAGCCUGGACCAGAGACCUGGUACAGAGAGUGGAGCAGUUUGAGAAGUGGGCCCUGACCGCCCACCCCCCAACCAUCUUCUGGAUGUCUGGGUUCACGUUCCCCACAGGAUUCCUGACCGCUGUCCUUCAAACCUCUGCUCGUAUGAACAGCGUAUCUGUGGACUCGUUGUCGUGGGAAUUCAGUGUGAUGACGGUGGAUGACUCCAACAUUACCGGACCACCCAAGGACGGUGUGUACAUCAAAGGCCUGUUCCUGCAGGGAGCGGGUUGGGAGAAGAAGAACUCUAUCUUGGUGGAGGCUAACCCCAUGCAGCUGGUGUGUCUGAUGCCCACCAUCCACUUCAAGCCCGUUGAAAACAAGAAGAAAGUUGCUAAAGGAAUGUACAUGGCCCCCUGCUACUACUACCCCAACCGUGCGGGAGGCAUGGGCAGACCCUCCUUUGUGGUGGCCGUGGAGCUGAAGGCGGGAGAGAAAUCACCGGACCACUGGGUCAAGAGGGGAACCGCCCUGCUGAUGAGUCUGGACUACUAACUCUGACAAUAACAUCUCCCUGUUAUAAAAUGGAGAGAUCUUCCUUUCUGUGAAAUAUGUCUUCUAUUUUUGUGUGGGAAAAAUAAAUCUGAAAACAUUGAAUCCCUGAAGACUACCUACUUCUGUGAUCAUUAACUAUCUGUGUGUAAAAAUUCAUCUCUAAGUGAUUCUGUGUACAUACAUGUAUAACCCAUGUAAUGAGAUUUCUGUGAUAUCAGAUACUAGAAAAAUCGAAAAAAUAAUAUAUAAUACUAGCUUGGUAGCUGAUCUGCAAGACUUGAAUCUUGUGUGACAUUUGAUAGAUCUGUGAAUUGACUUGUACACCACACACACUCAGCGGACAAACCAGUGCUCUUAUUUUUGUGAUAUCAAUUAUAAUGACGAAUGAUUGUACAAAUACUUCUAUAAUUAUUUAUAUUGGUUUUCUGCGAGUUUGUACACCACACACAGCUGACAAAGCAGUUCUCUUAUUUUUGUGAUAUCAACUAUAUUGAUAAUUGUGCAACUUGUUCUAUGAAUAUUUAUAGUUUUUUUUGUGUGCAUAAAACUCAUCUCUAUGUGUUGUUUCAUCUAUCAUGGUAUUAACAUUCCAUUGUUUUAUUUUUGAACAUUAAUUUAUUGAAUCUAUUAAACUUGUUGAAUUAUAAAG